rnacentral:rRNA from 1 species
GCCUAAGGAUGAGCUCGCGCCUGAUUAGCUUGUUGGUAGGGUAAUGGCCUACCAAGGCCACGAUCAGUAGCUGGUUUGAGAGAAUGAUCAGCCACACUGGGACUGAGACACGGCCCAGACUCCUACGGGAGGCAGCAGUAGGGAAUCUUCCGCAAUGGGCGAAAGCCUGACGGAGCAACGCCGCGUGAGUGAAGAAGGUCUUCGGAUCGUAAAGCUCUGUUGCCGGGGACGAAUG